rnacentral:rRNA from 1 species
UACGUAGGUGGCAAGCGUUGUCCGGAUUUACUGGGCGUAAAGAGCGCGCAGGCGGUCGUUCAAGUCGCGUGUGAAAGCCCCCGGCUCAACUGGGGAGGGUCACGCGAUACUGAUCGACUUGAAGGCAGGAGAGGGAAGCGGAAUUCCCGGUGUAGUGGUGAAAUGCGUAGAUAUCGGGAGGAACACCAGUGGCGAAGGCGGCUUCCUGGCCUGUUCUUGACGCUGAGGCGCGAAAGCUAGGGGAGCAAACGGGG